UGGAACCUCAGCAACCCGGAGCCCACAUCCUCGGAGUACGCCGCCCUGCUGAGGGACACCCAGGACCAGUAACCACACUGGAGUGGACUCCCUGUGUACCUUGCCGCCUUGGCACAGAGACUGGACAGAGUUGCCAUCUAUGAGGAAUUCCUGUGGCUGACCCAGAAUGGUACCCAGCUGCAGAACUUGACCCUGGACAGGAAGAGUGUCCUUGGGGAUGAAUAUUCUGCCAACAGAGAUGACACCUCGACUGAGAAGCCUAACCUCCCCUUCUGGGCCCUCAUCCUCAUCUGCUUGGCGGGAAUCCUGGUGCUCAUCACAGG